rnacentral:rRNA from 1 species
CCUACGGGUGGCUGCAGUGGGGAAUAUUGGACAAUGGGCGAAAGCCUGAUCCAGCCAUGCCGCGUGUGUGAAGAAGGCCUUCGGGUUGUAAAGCACUUUCAGUGGGGAAGAAAGCCUUGGGGCUAAUACCCUCGAGGAAGGACAUCACUCACAGAAGAAGCACCGGCUAACUCCGUGCCAGCAGCCGCGGUAAUACGGAGGGUGCGAGCGUUAAUCGGAAUUACUGGGCGUAAAGCGCGCGUAGGCGGUCUGAUAAGCCGGUUGUGAAAGCCCCGGGCUCAACCUGGGAACGGCAUCCGGAACUGUCAGGCUAGAGUGCAGGAGAGGAAGGUAGAAUUCCCGGUGUAGCGGUGAAAUGCGUAGAGAUCGGGAGGAAUACCAGUGGCGAAGGCGGCCUUCUGGACUGACACUGACGCUGAGGUGCGAAAGCGUGGGUAGCAAACAGGAUUAGAUACCCUUGUAGUC